AUUCAGGACAGCAUUUCCAUCGGGAAAUUGGCCGCCGAUGACGGAUGCCGCAAGCCUUUUGCGCUGGUAAACUUCAAGUUCAACUUUCCCAAGUUUUCGGCAGAGGCCAUUGUGCCGUCGACCGAUGGUUCUCUCCCCGUGAAACUUGCUCCAUACAACCCCUCCGAAUGCAUUCCGCUGUCGAUGCUGUGGACUAAAAAAGCCGACCCAACCAGCGACUUCUCCGCAAUAAGGAUGUUCAAAGAUGAGUCGAAGGGCUUCAACGGCCUGGGCGGAUAUGGAAAUGAGGGGACAGUCAUUGGGGUCCUACCAACAGGCGAUGGAGCCAACCCUAACGUCCAAUGGAAGAUAGUUGGCUUCUUCUCCCGUCCCUGAUGGAUUAUAUUCAUGUAGGAGACUAAUGGAAGCUAAUAAGGCCUCAGUGUGGAUUGCUUGUGUCAAAAGGAACCCGCUGUGCUUGCAUUGUGUUUGUCGAAGAUUAUUAUUUUGCGAUAAUGUGGUUGCUGAAGAAAAAAGUCUCGUUGUCUCCUGUAAUCUUUCCUUUUUCAAAUUUUCAUGUCUCCUCCUUACACGCGCGCGUUCUUUUCCCCAAUAAACACGCCCAUGGACUGGACUGUAUUCCCCAGAUUGUUGAAGCUUAUUAGAAUUUCAAGAUGCAUGCUGAUUAUUUUGG